UCUGUUUUUCCUGAAGGUAGAGAGAGCCACCCAUACCUAAAAGGACAGUGCUAGAGAUAAAAUAGUCCACUUACAUAUUUUCCUCACUACAAGGAUUGCCAGGGAGAUAUGCAGGAGAUACAUGCACGGAAAGGAGCAUGCAGAAGAUAUAUUAAAUGAAAAGAAUUUUGAGGGACAAAUCUGUGGUAAUAGGGCUGGAUUUUAAGAACUGAAUAAAUGACGAUACUACUCAUAAGAAGGAACAAACUACUGACACAAUGUGAAUGAGUCUGGCAGAUAUGUUGAGUGACAGAUGAAAGAUACAAAAGAUUAUACGUAUAAUAUGAUUCCAUUUAUCUGAUGUUCGAGGCAGGAUAAGCUAAUCUAUGGUGAUAGAAAUUAGGACAGUGGAGGCCUGGGGUGGUGUUGACUGGAAAGGGGUAUCCAGGAACUUUCAGUGGUGAUGGCAACGUUCUGUGUCUUGAUUUGGAUGUAGGUAUACAUUUGUCAAAACUUGUGAAACUGUACGCUUAAUAGCUAUGCAUUUCUUUUCUUUUCUUUUCUUUUCUUUGCGACAGGGUCUCACUCUGUUACCCAGGCUGGAGUGGUGCAAUGGCACAAUCUCAGCUCACUGCAACCCCUGCCACUGCAACCCUUGCCUCCAGGUUCAAGUGCUUCUCUUGCCUCAGCCUUCCAAGUAGCUGGGAUUACAGGCACCUGCCACCACACCUGGCUGAUUUUUGUAUUUUUAACAGAGACGGGGUUUCACCAUGUUGGCCAAGCUGGUCUCAAACUCCUGACCUCAAGUGAUCUGCCUGCCUCAGCCUCCCAAAAUGCUGGGAUUACAGGUGUAAGCCACCAUGCCCAGCCAGGUAUGCAUUUCAUAGUGUAUGAAUCAUACCUCAAAAUUUAUAAAAAUAAAAAAGGAUUUUAAAAAAUGAACAGCCCUUUAGGUAUGGGAGGAGGCGAGGAGUAAGAAAGGUGAAUGGACUCUGCAUUACCACUUGCCGAUCGCUAGAUGUUACCAUGUUACAGUGGAAGGAAUGCAAACAAUAAUUUUUCCCAUUUUUUUUUUUGUUAUGUCCACCAUGUAACCGGACACACAGAAUUUUUUUUUUUUUUUUUUUUUUUUUUUGAGACGAAGUCUCACUCUGUCGCCCAGGCUGGAGUGCAGUGGCGCAUCUCGGCUCACUGCAAGCUCCGUCUCCCACGUUCACGCCAUUCUCCUGCCUCAGCCUCCCGAGUAGCUGGGACUACAGGCGUCUGCCACCAUGCAGCUAAUUUUUUGUAUUUUUUUUUUUAGUAGAGAUGGGGUUUCACCGUGUUAGCCAGGAUGGUCACGAUCUCCUGACCUCGUGAUCCGCCUGCCUCGGCCUCCCAAAGUGCUGGGAUUACCGGCAUGAGCCACCAUUUCCGGCAACAGGCAGACUUUUAACACAUUCCUUACCUAAACUUUUAAAAGGGACAAAAGAUAUAUGCCUUUGGUUUGGGAGAUGACGAAACAUAUGCUUUAAUGACUAUUGGGUUGGAAUCUUCUUGAGAGAGGAUCCUUCUUAGCCUAGACUAGAGUCUUCAAAAGCCCACAGUGCUUCGUAAAGUUUCAUACGUGGAAGAGAGAAGGAUGUUCCACUGGAAAAGCAGAAUUGCAGCUGAGCUGUCCUGAAAUGCCCAGCACUCUGUGGAGACGCGGAGGAGGUUUCCUGGGACAAAGUGCUGAACCAGGUGGUGAAGCCAAGGCCUGAAGACCUUUCCUGCAAGGUCGCAGAGGAAGAGGCAGAAGAAGGACCAGAACCCAGCUCCCCUGACUCCCUAUCCAGUGCUCUUCUCAUAGAUUACAUUGCUUCAGCAUCCACCUGGCUAUUGCUCCAUCCAGGGGUUACAGGAGUCACUGACUGUUUUGGUUGCUUCUUGGUUGGAGGAUGUUGUGCCUCACCGAUGAGAGGUUCCCAGAGCCCAAUCAAGAUCCUCACAUGUAGAAAGUAGUAGAUCAAUUAAAUAAAGCAAGCACAGCCAGAAUGGCUGGGAAUUUGAGAGCAUGUGCCCCAGAAUGAUUGUACCUCAGACCUGGAAGAAAAUGUGGAGUUGAUCUAAGUAAACCUGAUGUUUGAACGCCUCAUCUGCAUUCACAGCCUGAGGCACUAUUUACAAUGACCCAGGAGUCUGAUGCCUAAAUGAUACAUUAUCUUCAUGCUCCAGUCUCCCACUGUCUGACUGCCCGGCUCUUCUUUGACGAGAGAUCUCACCGAUUGCGGCCCUUGGCCUUAGGAAGGGUGAUGGGCUGGGCUGGAGGCCUGGGCUGAGCUCUUGGGUGCAGGGGGAGCCUCAGCUUUUCCAGCCCUCAUCCUCAACGGCUGCCUCUGCCAAGGCCCUGGAGCUACAGAAAGCAAGACCAGUGCCUGAGUGCAAUAAAUGCUUUUAUUAGUCCUUUUAUUAAUGACGGUUGGUAUUUGUUGAGAAGCUGGGACAAUAGUUAUUCCAGUAAGAGGAUAUUAAGCUCCCUCAAACAGGCCCUGUAUAUCUAACAGGCUCUGGCCCCCAGCCUCCCCUGACGCAGCUCUGUUACACUGCAGCACACCCCUGGCCUCCCAGCAACUCCAAGAAGGGAGAGGAGGGAUGGGGGAGGUAGGGAUAAUCUGGUGUCAUUAAACACACAGGCCUUUGUGGAGGUUACCGUACACCAACAGCAGGAAGCUUUUUCUUCCUUCUGAGAGCAUAGGGAGCCUAUGUGAUUUUGUUUUUUUUUUGUUUGUUUUGGUUUUUUUGUUUUUUGCUACCCCUGUGCUCCUGGCUAUUUUACCUCCAGAGCUGCUGGUGAUAAGUUGGUAAAGGAGGACCUCCUUAAACCAUUUGUUAAACCAUUUGAGACUGU
rnacentral:lncRNA from 10 species